AUUGAACGCUGGCGGCAGGCCUAACACAUGCAAGUCGAACGAGUGGCGGACGGGUGAGUAAUGUCUGGGAAACUGCCUGAUGGAGGGGGAUAACUACUGGAAACGGUAGCUAAUACCGCAUACCAUCAGAUGUGCCCAGAUGGGUUUGGCUUGUUGGUGGGGUAACGGCUCACCACGGCGACGAUCCCUUGCUGGUCUGAGAUGAUGACAUGCCACACUGGAACUGAGACACGCGGCAGACUUGUACGGGGUGCAGCAGUGGGGAAUAUUGCACAAUGGGCGCAAGCCUGAUGCAGCCAUGACGCGUGUAUGAAGAAGGUCUUCGGGUUGUAAAGUACUUUCAGCGGGGAGGCGUUACCCGCAGAAGAAGCACCGGCUAACUCCGUGCCAGCAGCCGCGGUAAUUC
rnacentral:rRNA from 1 species